GAUGAACGCUAGCGGCAGGCUUAACACAUGCAAGUCGAGGGGCAGCAUGAGACGGAGAUUCGUCGAAGUCUUGAUGGCGACCGGCGCAAGGGUGCGUAACGCGUGAGCAACUUGCCCGUUUCUGGGGAAUAACCGGUGGAAACGCCGACUAAUACCCCAUAGUAUCAGAUUUAGGCAUCUUUAUCUGAUUAAAGAAUUUCGGAAACGGAUAGGCUCGCGUGACAUUAGCUAGAUGGCGGGGUAACGGCCCACCAUGGCUACGAUGUCUAGGGGUUCUGAGAGGAAGGUCCCCCACACUGGAACUGAGACACGGUCCAG
rnacentral:rRNA from 1 species